ACUGCGAGUGAAGCGGGAAGAGCUCAAAUUUAAAAUCUGGCAUGCCUUGGGCUGUCCGAGUUGUAGUCUGGAGAAGUGUUUUCUGUGCUGGACCAUGUACAAGUCUCUUGGAACAGGGCAUCAUAGAGGGUGAGAAUCCCGUCUUUGACAUGGACUACCAGUGCUGUGUGAUGCGCUCUCAACGAGUCGAGUUGUUUGGGAAUGCAGCUCAAAACGGGUGGUAAAUUCCAUCUAAAGCUAAAUAUAGGCGAGAGACCGAUAGCGAACAAGUACCGUGAGGGAAAGAUGAAAAGCACUUUGGAAAGAGAGUUAAACAGUACGUGAAAUUGCUGAAAGGGAAACGCUUGAAGUCAGCUGUGUCUGCCAGGACUCAACCUUGCUUUUUUGCAUGGUGCACUUUCUGGUUGAURGGCCAGCAUCAAUUUUGACCAUCAGAAAAAGGUGGAGGGAAUGUAGCACCUUUUGGGGUGUGUUAUAGCCUUGCGUCGUAUAUGAUGGUUGGGAUUGAGGACUGCAGCACACCUUUAUGGCUGGGGUUUUCCCCACACCUGUGCUUAGGAUGCUGGCAUAAUGGCUUUAAGCGACCCGUCUUGAAACACGGACCAAGGAGUCUAACAUGCCUGCGAGUGUUUGGGUGGAAAACCCAAGUGCACAAUGAAAGUGACAGUUGAGACCUCUCAGGAGGGCAUCGACGCCUGGACUUGAUCUACGGAGACAGCUCCACGGUAGAGCAUGKAUGUUUGGGACCCCGAAAGAUGGGUGAACUAUGGCCUUG
rnacentral:rRNA from 1 species